GACGAACGCUGGCGGCGUGCCUAAUACAUGCAAGUUGAGCGCUGAAGGUUGGUACUUGUACCCACUGGAUGAGCAGCGAACGGGUGAGUAACGCGUGGGUAAUCUGCCUUUGAGCGGGGGACAACAUUUGGAAACGAAUGCUAAUACCGCAUAAAAACUUUAAACACAAGUUUUAAGUUUGAAAGAUGCAAUUGCAUCACUCAAAGAUGAUCCCGCGUUGUAUUAGCUAGUUGGUGAGGUAAAGGCUCACCAAGGCGAUGAUACAUAGCCGACCUGAGAGGGUGAUCGGCCAAAUUGGGACUGGGACAAGGCCCAAACUCCUACGGGAGGCAGCAGUAGGGAAUCUUCGGCAAUGGACGAAAGUCUGACCGAGCAACGCCGCGUGAGUGAAGAAGGUUUUCGGAUCGUAAAACUCUGUUGGUAGAGAAGAACGUUGGUGAGAGUGGAAAGCUCAUCAAGUGACGGUAACUACACAGAAAGGGACGGCUAACUACGUG
rnacentral:rRNA from 1 species